rnacentral:lncRNA from 1 species
AAGUGAUCAUGGGAGAGGAACUGGUGGCUUUAUAAGAAAAGCAAGAGAGGGCUGAGCUAGCCUGUGAGCACUCAGCUUCUUCACCAGCUGAUGUCCUGCACCACUAUGGGACUCUGCAGAGAGUCAUCAGCAGCAAGAAGGACCUCACCAGAUGCAGCCCCUUGGCAAUGGACGUCUCAGCCUCCAUAACUAUCCCUUGCUUCAGGGCCCUGACCCACAGCCACCUGAGAGGCACGUGACAAUGGUGAGUGCUGGGUUGCCCUGGGAGAGGAUGGAGGGGUCACUCUGAAGAUCCCCACAGGUGGUGGAAGGAUGACAUGAGAUUGGGGUCAGAGUCAGAGCCGGCUACAAGCUUUUCUACAGACUCAGCUUCCUUUCCAGGCACAAAGAACGUGACUCUGCCUGUGCGUGGGAGACUGGGAGAGUGAGCACGUGCGCGUGUGUGCGUAUAUCUGUGCCUAUGCAUACUAGGUGUGUGGGUGUAUGCACCUGUGUGAGGAUGGGUGGAUGCAGGGGGACUGGGAGGAGGAGAGUGAGGUAUGCGUGCAUAGGCGUGCCUGUGUGUGCAUGAGGACCUUGAUGGGGAUGCACCCCUCUCGUGUAUAUUUCAUGCGUGUGUUGGUGUUGUAUGCGGAUUGUAUGGGGCUACCGCUGGCAGCUUAGUGGAACAUCUGGGGCACAGAUUCUGGAGCGGAAAGCCUAGUCUGCACCCUGGCUCUUCAGCUUGCUGGCAAAGGGUACCAGCCACCCUAAAAUAGGCCACUUUGGCACAUGGAUUAUUUUGAGCUAAAGGCCGUUGAGAACCAGCCACCACAGGAAAAGCUCCUUAUCUCCUCCUAACUGCCUAAAAAUUGAGUGCAGACAAUCCCCAACUUACCAUGGUCCAAUUUGGGGUUUUUCGGCUGUGAUGUUGCAUUCAGUACACUCCUGGACUUACAAUGGGUUAACUCAGAAUAAACCCAUCAUAAAUGGAAAAUAUUGUAAGUCGAAAAGGCACCAUCAUAAGUCAUGGAGCAGCUGUACAAAUAGACCCUUUUGUAAGGGAAAUUUCCACGUGUAAAGAUGUCUCAUACGUGGGAGAGAGCUGCUCCUGGGGAGCCCUGCUGUCACCUGAGGCUUUUCUCUGCAGAACAAGAUAACUCUUAUUUACCUACAUCUCCUCCUGACCCCUUCCCAGAACAGCCCUCCCCAGCCCAGAAACUCAAAACCCCUUUUCCUUUGUUGAUAUUUAAACCCCAGUCCCACCCACCCCUUUGGUUACUGAUCGCUGGGUGCUCUCAUGUGUAUACACAAUGCACUUAUUAAUGAACUUCGGUUUGUUUUUCUCUUGUUCAUCUGUCUUUUUCGAGUCUCCCUUAUGGGGCCCCAGCCAGAAAGCCUAAGGUGGGUGGAGGAAAAGGAUCAUUUCCUCGCUCAUGCCAUAGGGGAGGCAAGCUCUCCUAGAGGGGUGCUAGCCACCCCAAAAUAUGUCUCUUCGGCACAUAGACUAUUUUGAGCUAAAGGCCAUUGAGAACCAGCACAAGGUGCUGGAGAAAGGCCACAAAGAGUAUGUCAGGGAGGCCACCAGGAGCUCAUACUUCCUGGAGCUCAACAGGCUUGAGGCAGGACAUGCUGUGUGUGGGAAUUGUGUGGGGGUGGGCGGGGGGUUGGGAAGGAUGGAGGAAGAGAUUGUGUGUGCAUGGAGGAGGUGCAUGGGUGUGUGAGUGUGUGCACAGGUGUUCUGUGAGUAGGUGUAGGGGGCUGUGUGUGUGUAUGUGCAUGUGGGUGGGGCUGCACAGGUGUGUGGCUGUGCAAAGAGAUGUUCUAUGAGUAGGUGUAGGAGUGUGUGUGUGCGUGUGCAUCUGUGUGUGCAUGUGGGUGCAUGGCGUGUGGGUGAGUGCACAGGUGUGUGGGUAGAUAGGAGUGUGUGUGUGCGCGUGCGCAUGCGGGGGUGCUCAGGUGUAUGGGUGUGUGUGUGCACAGGUGUGUGGGUAGGUAGGGAUGUGUGUAUGUGUGAGAGUGUGUGUACAUGUGGGGGGUACAGAGGUGUGUAAGUGUGUGUGCACAGGUGUUGUGUGGGUAGGUAGGGGUGUGUGCAUAUGUGUGUGUGCAUGCGGGGGUGCACAGGUGUGUGGGUAGGUAGGGAUGUGUGUGUGUGCAUGUGGGGGUGCACAGGUGUGUGGGCGUGUGUGCACAGGUGUUGUGUAGGUAGCCCCCAAGGGGUGUGUGUGUGUGUGUGUGCAUGCAUACAUGUGUGUCUGGGCCGGGUGAGAGUGUCGGCACAUCUGUGCACGCAGUCAGCUCCAUCAAGGCUGAGGUUGAGGCUCUGACCCCUCACAGGACCUCUGGGAAUCCAGGCCUUGCUGCCAGUCCUCAGCUGCAGGCCAGGCAUCCACCGCAAGCCCUGGCUGGGGAGCAAGGUGAGAAAAAAGAGAAAUUUUGUAUCUGAGGAAUGUGAGCCCCUUUAAACGAUCAGGCCCAGAGAGGCACUGAAAUGUGACAGCAGCCAUGUCUCUCUCCUGCCUUGAGCUAAAUAAUGACUUCUUGAAGCCACUUGCUAUGUGGACUGACUGACACCAGGCAGCCAUAAAAUGCCAUCUGGACACCAUACUUCAUACCCUAUCAUUCAACAAUGCACAGCCAAUCACAGCUCAAUGUCAUCUCUGCAACCCAGUGAGAAUGCCUGUCAAACAACUGUAUCUGCUUCAAAAACCUGCUCGUAAUGAAGGCUGGACGGAGCACUCCCCAAGGCAUCUUAGAAGUGUGUCCUGGGUGGCCGGGUGCAGUGGCUCACACCUGUAAUCCCAGCACUUUGGGAGGCUGAGGCGGGUGUAUCGCGAGGUCAGGAGAUCGAGACCAUCCUGGCUAACACGGUGAAACCCCGUCUCUACUAAAAAUACAAAAAAAAAUUAGCCGGGCAUGGUCGUGGGUGCCUAUAGUCCCAGCUACUCGGGAGGCUGAGGCAGGAGAAUGGCAUGAACCCAGGAGGCAGAGCUUGCAGUGAGCGGAGAUCGUGCCACUGCACUCCAGCCUGGGUGACAGAGCAAGACUUCAUCUAAAAAAAAAAAAAAAAAGAAGUGUGUCCUGGGCUGCUGUCCUCAACCUUGGCCCAAAUAAACUCUCUAUAUUAAUUUUGCCUCAGUUUCUUUAUUUCAGUCAACAAAAGGUGACUCCAUGCAGCUCAGCCCCACAGGAGACCCCGGGGCCCCUGCUUGGAGCCCGUGAGAGCCUGUGAGGGCAGGAGGUCGCCCUCCUGAUGCCAAGGGAGGACACAUUUCUGCAGCCCACCUGUGUGACCUUUGUGUCCUCUCUUGGACCUCCAGAAGCCAUGCCCUGAGUGGGCACUGGGAUUCCACAGGACUCAGGGACGCACUCCACUUGGCUGUGGGGCCAUCUCAACCUCAGGACGGUGGGGCAGACAGAGUGUCAGGGCUCAGAGGCACCGCAGAGCCUCCCGGGCCAGGGUCUGCACUGGUCCCAACCACACACAGUAAGACACUGGAAAAACC